rnacentral:rRNA from 1 species
GAUCAUGGCUCAGAUUGAACGCUGGCGGCAUGCUUUACACAUGCAAGUCGAACGGCAGCAUAGAGAGCUUGCUCUCUGAUGGCGAGUGGCGAACGGGGUGAGUAAUACAUCGGGAACGUGUCCGUUUGUGGGGGACAACCACCCGAAAGGGUGGCUAAUACCGCAUAAGACCUGAGGGUGAAAGCCGGGGACCGCAAAGGCCUGGCGCGAACGGAGCGGCCGAUGACUGAUUAGCUGG